UACAGAGGGUGCGAGCGUUGUUCGGAAUUACUGGGCGUAAAGCGCGCGCAGGCGGCCUUUUAAGUCUACCCGUGAAAUGCCGGAGCUCAACUCCGUGCACGCCGGGGGAUACUGGGAGGCUAGAGACUGGUAGAGGCGAGCGGAAUUCCUGGUGUAGCGGUGGAAUGCGUAGAUAUCAGGAAGAACACCGGUGGCGAAGGCGGCUCGCUGGGCCAGUUCUGACACUCAUCCGCGAAAGCGUGGGGAGCAAACAGG
rnacentral:rRNA from 1 species